AACUGAAGCAGAGGUGGUUUUCACUUCCUUACACUCUUGCCAGCAUUAGCCACACCCUGGUGUCUCUCAGCCAGUUUAAGCUGGUGUUAAAGUAGACAAGCAGACUGGUUAAGACCACCAAGACUAAAUGAAGUUGUUUGUCACAGACAUCUUAGGAGGAAGAGAAUACAGAUACCAGACAUUUUCUUUACUAAAAUGGACAGUUUUUUUUUCUUUCUUUUUUUCCUUUUAAAAGAUUUUUUAUAUAGAAGAAAUCUGAAAAUUUGGAGGCAGCACCGGCUUUUUUUAAAUGAAGAAUGGUGUAUAUGAACUGAGUCUGUCUGCAUGAUGCAGCUCUGAUUUCUUGGUACGUUCAUUUAAGUAGCUUCCCAUAUUCAGUGUCCUUGUUCCCAUUCACAGAAAAUACAUCCUGUACUGGCUAGUUUUGUGUCAACUUGACACAGCUGGAGUUAUCACAGAGAAAGAACAGCAAUGUGGAAAUGUAAGCUGAAUAAACCCUUUCCUCCCCAACUUGCUUCUUGGUCAUGUUGUUUGUUCAGGAAUAGAAACCCUAACUAAGACACAUCCCUAAGCAGAAACUACUGCGGCUCAGGAUACUUGGUGCUCGAAACCCGGGGAAAAAACGCCUUAACAACGUGCAGCACCAGGGAGGAGACCCUCAGACCAACCGGAGCAGGUUCAGAACCAUGGUGGAUUCAGCUCCGAGAGAAUACUGAUACGGGUGAAGAAAAUCUACUUUGGGUCCCAAUGCGACUGAAAAGGACUGUGAAAGAACAAUAUGAACCCCAAGAUGAUUCUCUUACUCCUGAUGAUUGAGACCGGGAUAAGUAUACCCUUGUAGGCCAAAGUAAGAUCAUGGCCAGUACCUUUACCGGUACAGUCCAAUUUGUCUACCUAGCCUUUAUUUUUUGCAAAGGAAUGUUUUUUAGAUGUGCCUUAUACACAACAAACUCCUCAAGAGCC
rnacentral:lncRNA from 1 species